rnacentral:rRNA from 1 species
GAUGAACGCUGGCGGCGUGCCUAAUACAUGCAAGUCGAGCGAACAGACGAGGAGCUUGCUCCUCUGACGUUAGCGGCGGACGGGUGAGUAACACGUGGAUAACCUACCUAUAAGACUGGGAUAACUUCGGGAAACCGGAGCUAAUACCGGAUAAUAUAUUGAACCGCAUGGUUCAAUAGUGAAAGACGGUUUUGCUGUCACUUAUAGAUGGAUCCGCGCCGCAUUAGCUAGUUGGUAAGGUAACGGCUUACCAAGGCAACGAUGCGUAGCCGACCUGAGAGGGUGAUCGGCCACACUGGAACUGAGACACGGUCCAGACUCCUACGGGAGGCAGCAGUAGGGAAUCUUCCGCAAUGGGCGAAAGCCUGACGGAGCAACGCCGCGUGAGUGAUGAAGGUCUUCGGAUCGUAAAACUCUGUUAUUAGGGAAGAAUAAAUGCGUAAGUAACUAUGCACGUCUUGACGGUACCUAAUCAGAAAGCCACGGCUAACUACGUG